GCGCCCAUAGCUCAAAUGGAUAGAGUACUUGACUACGAAUCAAGCGGUUAGAGGUUCGACUCCUCUUGGGCGCA
rnacentral:tRNA from 1 species